UUAAGUUAUUAAGGGCGCACGGUGGAUGCCUUGGCACUAGAAGCCGAUGAAGGACGUUACUAACGACGAUAUGCUUUGGGGAGCUGUAAGUAAGCUUUGAUCCAGAGAUUUCCGAAUGGGGAAACCCAGCAUGAGUUAUGUCAUGUUAUCGAUAUGUGAAUACAUAGCAUAUCAGAAGGCACACCCGGAGAACUGAAACAUCUUAGUACCCGGAGGAAGAGAAAGAAAAUUCGAUUCCCUUAGUAGCGGCGAGCGAAACGGGAAGAGCCCAAACCAAAAAGCUUGCUUGUUGGGGUUGUAGGACACUCUAUACGGAGUUACAAAGGACGACAUUAGACGAAUCAUCUGGAAAGAUGAAUCAAAGAAGGUAAUAAUCCUGUAGUCGAAAAUGUUGUCUCUCUUAAGUGGAUCCUGAGUACGACGGAGCACGUGAAAUUCCGUCGGAAUCUGGGAGGACCAUCUCCUAAGGCUAAAUACUCUCUAGUGACCGAUAGUGAACCAGUACCGUGAGGGAAAGGUGAAAAGCACCCCGGAAGGAGAGUGAAAUAGAACCUGAAACCGUGUGCUUACAAGUAGUCAGAGCCCGUUAAUGGGUGAUGGCGUGCCUUUUGUAGAAUGAACCGGCGAGUUACGAUUUGAUGCAAGGUUAAGCAGUAAAUGUGGAGCCGUAGCGAAAGCGAGUCUGAAUAGGGCGUUUAGUAUUUGGUCGUAGACCCGAAACCAGGUGAUCUACCCUUGGUCAGGUUGAAGUUCAGGUAACACUGAAUGGAGGACCGAACCGACUUACGUUGAAAAGUGAGCGGAUGAACUGAGGGUAGCGGAGAAAUUCCAAUCGAACCUGGAGAUAGCUGGUUCUCUCCGAAAUAGCUUUAGGGCUAGCCUCAAGUGAUGAUUAUUGGAGGUAGAGCACUGUUUGGACGAGGGGCCCCUCUCGGGUUACCGAAUUCAGACAAACUCCGAAUGCCAAUUAAUUUAACUUGGGAGUCAGAACAUGGGUGAUAAGGUCCGUGUUCGAAAGGGAAACAGCCCAGACCACCAGCUAAGGUCCCAAAAUAUAUGUUAAGUGGAAAAGGAUGUGGCGUUGCCCAGACAACUAGGAUGUUGGCUUAGAAGCAGCCAUCAUUUAAAGAGUGCGUAAUAGCUCACUAGUCGAGUGACACUGCGCCGAAAAUGUACCGGGGCUAAACAUAUUACCGAAGCUGUGGAUUGUCCUUUGGACAAUGGUAGGAGAGCGUUCUAAGGGCGUUGAAGCAUGAUCGUAAGGACAUGUGGAGCGCUUAGAAGUGAGAAUGCCGGUGUGAGUAGCGAAAGACGGGUGAGAAUCCCGUCCGCCGAUUGACUAAGGUUUCCAGAGGAAGGCUCGUCCGCUCUGGGUUAGUCGGGUCCUAAGCUGAGGCCGACAGGCGUAGGCGAUGGAUAACAGGUUGAUAUUCCUGUACCACCUAUAAUCGUUUUAAUCGAUGGGGGGACGCAGUAGGAUAGGCGAAGCGUGCGAUUGGAUUGCACGUCUAAGCAGUAAGGCUGAGUAUUAGGCAAAUCCGGUACUCGUUAAGGCUGAGCUGUGAUGGGGAGAAGACAUUGAGUCUUCGAGUCGUUGAUUUCACACUGCCGAGAAAAGCCUCUAGAUAGAAAAUAGGUGCCCGUACCGCAAACCGACACAGGUAGUCAAGAUGAGAAUUCUAAGGUGAGCGAGCGAACUCUCGUUAAGGAACUCGGCAAAAUGACCCCGUAACUUCGGGAGAAGGGGUGCUCUUUAGGGUUAACGCCCAGAAGAGCCGCAGUGAAUAGGCCCAAGCGACUGUUUAUCAAAAACACAGGUCUCUGCUAAACCGUAAGGUGAUGUAUAGGGGCUGACGCCUGCCCGGUGCUGGAAGGUUAAGAGGAGUGGUUAGCUUCUGCGAAGCUACGAAUCGAAGCCCCAGUAAACGGCGGCCGUAACUAUAACGGUCCUAAGGUAGCGAAAUUCCUUGUCGGGUAAGUUCCGACCCGCACGAAAGGCGUAACGAUUUGGGCACUGUCUCAACGAGAGACUCGGUGAAAUCAUAGUACCUGUGAAGAUGCAGGUUACCCGCGACAGGACGGAAAGACCCCGUGGAGCUUUACUGUAGCCUGAUAUUGAAAUUCGGCACAGCUUGUACAGGAUAGGUAGGAGCCUUUGAAACGUGAGCGCUAGCUUACGUGGAGGCGCUGGUGGGAUACUACCCUAGCUGUGUUGGCUUUCUAACCCGCACCACUUAUCGUGGUGGGAGACAGUGUCAGGCGGGCAGUUUGACUGGGGCGGUCGCCUCCUAAAAGGUAACGGAGGCGCUCAAAGGUUCCCUCAGAAUGGUUGGAAAUCAUUCAUAGAGUGUAAAGGCAUAAGGGAGCUUGACUGCGAGACCUACAAGUCGAGCAGGGUCGAAAGACGGACUUAGUGAUCCGGUGGUUCCGCAUGGAAGGGCCAUCGCUCAACGGAUAAAAGCUACCCCGGGGAUAACAGGCUUAUCUCCCCCAAGAGUUCACAUCGACGGGGAGGUUUGGCACCUCGAUGUCGGCUCAUCGCAUCCUGGGGCUGUAGUCGGUCCCAAGGGUUGGGCUGUUCGCCCAUUAAAGCGGUACGCGAGCUGGGUUCAGAACGUCGUGAGACAGUUCGGUCCCUAUCCGUCGUGGGCGUAGGAAAUUUGAGAGGAGCUGUCCUUAGUACGAGAGGACCGGGAUGGACAUACCUCUGGUGUACCAGUUGUCGUGCCAACGGCAUAGCUGGGUAGCUAUGUGUGGACGGGAUAAGUGCUGAAAGCAUCUAAGCAUGAAGCCCCCCUCAAGAUGAGAUUUCCCAACUUCGGUUAUAAGAUCCCUCAAAGAUGAUGAGGUUAAUAGGUUCGAGGUGGAAGCAUGGUGACAUGUGGAGCUGACGAAUACUAAUCGAUCGAAGACUUAAUCAA
rnacentral:rRNA from 1 species